GACGAACGCUGGCGGCGUGCCUAAUACAUGCAAGUCGAACGAGAGCGACCGGUGCUUGCACUGGUCAAUCUAGUGGCGAACGGGUGAGUAACACGUGGGUAACCUGCCCAUCAGAGGGGGAUAACAUCCGGAAACGGAUGCUAAAACCGCAUAGGUCUUCGAGCCGCAUGGCUUGAAGAGGAAAAGAGGCGCAAGCUUCUGCUGAUGGAUGGACCCGCGGUGCAUUAGCUAGUUGGUGAGGUAACGGCUCACCAAGGCCGUGAUGCAUAGCCGACCGGAGAGGGUGAUCGGCCACAUUGGGACUGAGACACGGCCCAAACUCCUACGGGAGGCAGCAGUAGGGAAUCUUCCGCAAUGGACGCAAGUCUGACGGAGCAACGCCGCGUGAGUGAAGAAGGUUGUCGGAUCGUAAAACUCUGUUGUUAGAGAAGAACAAGUGCUAGAGUAACUGUUAGCGCCUUGACGGUAUCUAACCAGAAAGCCACGGCUAACUACGUG
rnacentral:rRNA from 1 species